GGGGGGGGGUCUGAGGCCUCUAAGCGGUCUGAGGGGGUCUGAGGCCUCUAAGCGGUCUGGGGGGGUCUGAGGCCUUUAAGCGGUCUGAGGGGGUCUAAGGGCCUCUAAGCGGUCUGGGUGGGUCUGAGGCCUCUAAGCGGUCUGAGGGGGUCUGAGGCCUUUAAGCGGUCUGGGGGGGUCUGAGGCCUUUAAGCGGUCUGGGGGGGUCUGAGGCCUCUGAGCGGUCUGGGGGGGCUUAGGCCUCUAGGCGGUCCGGGGGGGUCUGAGGCCUCUCACCGUGCGGCCGGGCCUUGCUGAGGCCUGGCGUCACCAUGAAGCUCAGCAGGACGCCGGCGGCGGCGCUGAGGUUUCCGCGCUGCAGGAACACGGAGCCGCCGGAGCCGCUGGCCGCCAGCACCGCGCCUCGGUCCCUGAAGGUCACCAGCCUGAACGGACCUUUACCCAGAACUGUGGGGGGGCACAGGUUCUUCAUGAAGGUCGACGUUAAUAUGUUACCAUCAAACAUCAGACGUCAUUCAUAGAUCCACCUUCUAGAUGUGAGUCAGUGUUCGUGUGUGUGUGUGAGUCAGUGCGUGUGUGUGUGUGAGUCAGUGUGUGUGUGUGUGUGAGUCAGUGCGUGUGUGUGUGUGUGUGUGUGAGUCAGUGCGUGUGUUUGUGUGUGUGUGAGUCAGUGUGUGUGUGUGAGUCAGUGCGUGUGUGUGUGUGAGUCAGUGUGUGUGUGUGUGUGUGUGAGUCAGUGCGUGUGUGUGUGUGUGUGUGAGUCAGUGCGUGUGUUUGUGUGUGUGUGUGUGAGUCAGUGCGUGUGUUUGUGUGUGUGUGUGUGAGUCAGUGCGUGUGUGUGUGUGUGUCAGUGCGUGUGUGUGUGUGUGUGUGUGUGAGUCAGUGUGUGUGUGAGUCAGUGCGUGUGUGUGUGUGAGUCAGUGUGUGUGUGUGUGUUGGUGAGUCAGUGCGUGUGUGUGUGUGUGUGUGUGAGUCAGUGCGUGUGUGUGUGUGAGUCAGUGUGUGUGUGUGAGUCAGUGCGUGUGUGUGUGUGAGUCAGUGUGUGUGUGUGUGUGUGUGUGUGAGUCAGUGCGUGUGUGUGUGUGUGUGUGUGUGUGUGUGUGUGUGAGUCAGUGCGUGUGUUUGUGUGUGUGUGAGUCAGUGCGUGUGUGUGUGAGUCAGUGUGUGUGUGUGAGUCAGUGCGUGUGUGUGUGUGAGUCAGUGUGUGUGUGUGUGUGUGUGUGUGUGAGUCAGUGCGUGUGUGUGUGUGUGAGUCAGUGCGUGUGUUUGUGUGUGUGUGUGUGAGUCAGUGCGUGUGUUUGUGUGUGUGUGUGUGAGUCAGUGUGUGUGUGUGUGUGUGUGUGUGAGUCAGUGUGUGUGUGUGUGUGUGCGUGUGUGUGAGUCAGUGCGUGUGUGUGUGUGAGUCAGUGUGUGUGUGUGUGUGCGUGUGUGUGAGUCAGUGCGUGUGUGUGUGUGAGUCAGUGUGUGUGUGUGUGUGCGUGUGUGUGAGUCAGUGCGUGUGUGUGUGUGAGUCAGUGUGUGUGUACCUUUGUUGAAGAACUCACAGUCGUACGCUGCAGGAAGAAGGACAGAGGGACUUAACAACGUUAUAAUAAUCGUAAUAAAGAGAAACGGGUCCCAGUAGACAGUCUUGUAUAUUAUUACAACAUGCUUAGUAUUUCAUGAAGAGCUGUUAAACCAAUAAACAUCGUUGUUCUUGUAAUGACGGACGCUGAAGGGAAAUAUUUCGGGCUCACGGCACAGAGACGGCGAGCGCCAGUCCACCGGGACGCCCUGGUGGCAGCAGCGCUGCGCGUACGCCGCCACGCUGGUGCAGAAGCACUCGCAGUCGCCUCCCCGGCUGCAGGCGCACGUGUCAGCCAGGCAGUUCAUGUAGAACCAGGUGACGUCCACCUGAGGAGGGGGGGGACGGGGGGGGGGGCAACGGGCGCUUUGUUCAGUGGAAAGUAGUAAUACUAUUAAAAUAUUAUACACACACAUAUAUAUUCAUCUUUAGUUAUAGAUGUUCAUAUUCAUAAAAACAAUAAUAAAAGUAUAUUUAAAAAAUGUAACUUAAAAUUAAAAUAAAUAAGAGUUAUGAAAACAUUACAUUUAAAAUUUUUAGAAAUUAUAUAUAUAUAUUAUAUUUUGCUUAAAAAGAUUAUAUAUUUUAAUUCGUAUUGUAUGAUAUUUUAUACUUUAAAAUGUUGAUAAUUCUAUUUAUGUAUUAUACUAUAAUAUCUAUAUAUUUCUCUAUACUGUUCGUGACUAUCUGGACUCACCACCGGGUGGCAGGCCUGGAACACCUCGCUGAGCAGGACGCCGCAACGGCGCUUUGCAAACGGCUCUCUGAGCGGACUGAGGCUGCAGGGGUGUCUGAUGUCUGGACUGCUCACACACUGCACACACACACACACACACGCACACGCACACACACGCACACAUGCACAGUUUGGGUUGAUUACCACUUACUACAGGUUGAGUAGUAAAGGGUGUAAAGAAGAAGUGGUGGAAGCCUCCCAAUACGUGUGUACUUUUAAAAGUACUAAUACCAAAGCCUAAAAAUACCACUCUAAGUAGAAGUCCUGCAUUUUAAAUGUUGUUAGAAAUAGAUGAACAACCUGAAAAAGAUGAUUUGAUCAACACAACAUAUGCAAAUGAGACACUAUACUUUUAAAUAUGUGCUAAUUUGCAUAACGUUCCAGCAGAUAAAUCUGAACGUUGGAUGAAUUAAUAGUACUGUGUUUGAAGUUUACUCCUUUACGUCCUUAUUGGAAUUAGUACUAAGUAUAGUACUUGAGUAAAUGUACUUAUAAACCUUAUAAAACAAAGAGAUUAUAUUCAGUGAAUGUUGGGAAAAGUGACUGACUUUAAAGCUGGAAACGUUCCACAUUAAAGAAUUCUUACCUCUGCUGCCGUCCAGCUGUUCCCGAACUCCUGCGGAGUCGCAGAGUCGAUGUUGUCGGGCGUCCGCAUCUCGUUCACCGUCUUCGUGUCAAAGUUCCCACAGAGCCCGCUGAGCUUCCCCUGAACACACACACACACAUACACAUGUAUAUAUAAACACACAUGUAUAUAUAAACACACAUGUAUAUAUAAACACACGUGUAUAUAUAAACACACAUGUAUAUGUAAAGCUUAACCAACUCAAAUGGGUUUAUGUGAUAUUUACUACCAGUAAAAACAUCUCUAAAAUAAUCAUUUAUAUUUAUCAUAUAUAAUCGUGUCCAUAAGAUGAACUUCCCUGGUGUGUUGAUUGUGUGUCUGAGCUCAGGACUAAACUGAGCUUUUAUCCAAAGCGACUUACAUUACAUUACAUUACAUUACAUUACAUUACAUUACAUUUUGAACCAAUGGGAGCAAUUAGAGGUCAGGGGGUUUUGCCCAGGGACACUACGACAUGGGGCAGCCGGGACUCAAACCACCAACCUUGCGGUUCCCAGCACACCUGCUCUAACCCUGCACCACAUAGAGGAUCAGGACCACACUGAGACUGGUUCACAUGGAGCAUCAGGACUAACCUGAGACUGGUUGACAUAGAGGAUCAGGACUAACAUGAGACUGGUUGACAUAGAGGAUCAGGACUAACAUGAGACUGGUUGACAUAGAGGAUCAGGACUAAAUGGAGACUGGUUGACAUAGAGGAUCAGGACUAACCUGGGACUGGUUCACAUAGAGGAUCGGGACUAACCUGAGACUGGUUGACAUGGAGGAUCAGGACUAAACAGAGACUGGUUGACAUGGAGGAUCAGGACUAAACAGAGACUGGUUCACAUAGAGGAUC
ensembl:lncRNA